GACGAACGCUGGCGGCGUGCCUAAUACAUGCAAGUCGAGCGGAUCUUCAUUAGCUUGCUUUUGAAGAUCAGCGGCGGACGGGUGAGUAACACGUGGGCAACCUGCCUGUAAGACUGGGAUAACUUCGGGAAACCGGAGCUAAUACCGGAUAAUCCUUUUCCUCUCAUGAGGAAAAGCUGAAAGACGGUUUCGGCUGUCACUUACAGAUGGGCCCGCGGCGCAUUAGCUAGUUGGUGAGGUAACGGCUCACCAAGGCGACGAUGCGUAGCCGACCUGGGAGGGUGGUCAGCCACACUGGGACUGCGACACGGCCCAGACUCCUACGGGAGGCAGCAGUAGGGAAUCUUCCGCAAUGGACGAAAGUCUGACGGAGCAACGCCGCGUGAGCGAUGAAGGCCUUCGGGUCGUAAAGCUCUGUUGUCAGGGAAGAACAAGUACCGGAGUAACUGCCGGUACCUUGACGGUACCUGACCAGAAAGCCACGGCUAACUACGUGCCAGCAGCCGCCGUAAGAC
rnacentral:rRNA from 1 species